rnacentral:rRNA from 1 species
CGCCUGUUUAUCAAAAACAUGUCCUUUUGUUUAUAAAUAUAAGGUCUAGCCUGCCCAAUGAUUUAUUGAAUGGCCGCGGUAUAUUAACUGUGCUAAGGUAGCAUAAUCAUUUGUCUUUUAAUUGAAGGCUAGAAUGAAUGGCUGGACGAAACAUAAGCUUUCUUUAAUUUAUUUUUAGAAUUUAAUUUUUUAGUCAAAAAGCUAAAAUUUGUUUGAGGGACGAGAAGACCCUAUAGAUCUUUAUAUUUUUUAUUAUUAUGUAUUUUAGUGAAUUUAUUAUCUAUAAUAAUAUAAUUUAUUUGGUUGGGGCGACUGUAGAAUUUUCAUUAACUUCUAUUUAUUUUAUUUCAUUGAUUAGUGUUUAGUUGAUCCAAUAUUAUUGAUUAAAAGAUUAAGUUACCUUAGGGAUAACAGCGUAAUUCUUUCGGAGAGUUCUUAUCGAUGGAAGAGUUUGCGACCUCGAUGUUGGAUUAAAAUUAGUUGUAGGUGCAGGAGUUUACAAACUAGGUCUGUUCGACCUUUAAUUUUUUACAUGAUCUGAGUUCAAACCGGAG